UCCCACACGUGCCCCAACCGGGCGGGGAUUGAGCCUGCAACUGAGGACCAGAGUUGGACCCAGGACCUUCAGUCCACGCGCCGACUAGGGCCAGGUAUGACAUUUUGAUGACGUCCCCUGGCAGUCAGAGGUGCUCCGUGUCACGUCCUGUCUGGAGCAGCCACUGCCUCGGGUGUUUCUCCGUCCGAUCCAGACCCGCUGCACCUGAAAUGAGAAGUGGGAUCACAGCCCCACUCCUCGCUGCUCUCACCUCUCCGAGGCGGCUUAGUCUGUCCCCGUGUCCCCUGCAGUGUUACUGGAACCUGGAGAUUCCCAGCAGCACAGACCGCCCUCCUCUGUGCAGGGCUUUCUGCUUGGAAUUCACUGUGUCUGAUGUCCACAGGCCAGGCCUGCACCUGCGCCCGCCCACCCGGCCGCGUCCUGUUUGCAUUUGACUGAAGUACCUGUCGGUUAUUUUCAUCCGUUGAGAGUAUGUUCUGCCUUCCCACAUUUCUGAGGCCUCCUAAGGCCAGAGCUCUGUUACUUCAUCGUCAGGUUGGGACUUAGAUGGCCGUUCAUGGUUCCCCUCUCCUGCUGCAAUCAGUAAGUGCCUCUCCUUUGUGGUGUGUUUGGGUUGAAGCUGGAGGGAGGCUGUGAGGCAGAUGGGCCAGGAGGAGGGUCGGGUGGAGGGAGCCGGGUGAGAGGUUUGGGGGCUGGGCCUUCAGGACUGGCUCUGAGCCCAUCUGGUCAUCCACAAACCAUGUGUGUGUGUGUAUGCCUGUGCAUGGCUAUGUGUACGACUCAUGUAUGUCUAUGACUGUGUAUGUCUGUGUAUGACUUUAUAUAUGACUCGUGUGUGUGUGACUAUUACUGUAACAGUGUGUGUAUGAGUGUGGGUGACUAUAGGACUCGUGUGUGUGUGUGUGUGUGUGUGAAGUGGGGCUGGCUCAGCUCGCAUUCAAUCCUCGGAAUGAGUAGAAAGGACCCAGUUCUCCGCUGUGUGUGACCCUGAGCAGGAUUCACCCCUCUGUGAGCCUCAGCUUCUCACCUGGCCUUGCUGGGGAGGGACUUCUGAACUCCUUGAGCUGACAUGAGGGGCCAGGACUGCUCCCGGUGAGAGGCGGGGCAGGACUCCCGGACUAGAACUGCAGAGCUAGUGGGAGCUGCUCCCACCAGACCCGCCGGGGGCCCGGGGGUGCAGAGUCUGGGCUGGGAGCAGUGGGUGCUGCGGGCAGGGGGCUUGGAGGGUGGCCUGGGGCAGAUACUGGCUAAGGGUCCAGAUUGGGCUUCGUGGAUCUUGGGCCCUGGCGACUUGGACCCGUCCUCCCCGGAACUCAGACUCCAGUGAGUCCGAGGAGAGGAGAGAGGCCGGUGGGGGCACUGAGCGUCCGACUUCAUGUUCGAGUAGCGGCAGUUCCCGGGAAGGAUCCACAGCGGCGCUGGAGAGCGGUAGGAGGCCUGCAAGCCGGCAGGUGGGCGUUUGUGCACCCCACGUGGCCAGGGCGCAGCAGACCUAGGUCACCGCUGGCAUUUGAGCUAGGCCGGAGUGCUCAACCUGCCCCCUAGGUCUUAGGUUUCCUGUUCUGAU